rnacentral:rRNA from 1 species
GCAGUCGACGCUUCUUUCCUCCCGAGUGCUUGCACUCAAUUGGAAAGAGGAGUGGCGGACGGGUGAGUAACACGUGGGUAACCUACCCAUCAGAGGGGAAUAACACUUGGAAACAGGUGCUAAUACCGCAUAACAGUUUAUGCCGCAUGGCAUAAGAGUGAAAGGCGCUUUCGGGUGUCGCUGACGGAUGGACCCGCGGUGCAUUAGCUAGUUGGUGAGGUAACGGCUCACCAAGGCCACGAUGCAUAGCCGACCUGAGAGGGUGAUCGGCCACACUGGGACUGAGACACGGCCCAGACUCCUACGGGAGGCAGCAGUAGGGAAUCUUCGGCAAUGGACGAAAGUCUGACCGAGCAACGCCGCGUGAGUGAAGAAGGUUUUCGGAUCGUAAAACCCUGUUGUUAGAGAAGAACAAGGACGUUAGUAACUGAACGUCCCCUGACGGUAUCUAACCAGAAAGCCACGGCUAACUACGUGCCAGCAGCCGCGGUAAUACGUAGGUGGCAAGCGUUGUCCGGAUUUAUUGGGCGUAAAGCGAGCGCAGGCGGUUUCUUAAGUCUGAUGUGAAAGCCCCCGGCUCAACCGGGGAGGGUCAUUGGAAACUGGGAGACUUGAGUGCAGAAGAGGAGAGUGGAAUUCCAUGUGUAGCGGUGAAAUGCGUAGAUAUAUGGAGGAACACCAGUGGCGAAGGCGGCUCUCUGGUCUGUAACUGACGCUGAGGCUCGAAAGCGU